rnacentral:rRNA from 1 species
ACGUACACUCCUACGGGAGGCAGCAGUGGGGAAUAUUGCACAAUGGGCGCAAGCCUGAUGCAGCCAUGCCGCGUGUAUGAAGAAGGCCUUCGGGUUGUAAAGUACUUUCAGCGGGGAGGAAGGCGAUAAGGUUAAUAACCUUGUCGAUUGACGUUACCCGCAGAAGAAGCACCGGCUAACUCCGUGCCAGCAGCCGCGGUAAUACGGAGGGUGCAAGCGUUAAUCGGAAUUACUGGGCGUAAAGCGCACGCAGGCGGUCUGUCAAGUCGGAUGUGAAAUCCCCGGGCUCAACCUGGGAACUGCAUUCGAAACUGGCAGGCUAGAGUCUUGUAGAGGGGGGUAGAAUUCCAGGUGUAGCGGUGAAAUGCGUAGAGAUCUGGAGGAAUACCGGUGGCGAAGGCGGCCCCCUGGACAAAGACUGACGCUCAGGUGCGAAAGCGUGGGGAGCAAACAGGAUUAGAUACCCCGGUAGUCCCAUG